GUGGGGAAUCUUGCGCAAUGGGCGAAAGCCUGACGCAGCCAUGCCGCGUGAAUGAUGAAGGUCUUAGGAUUGUAAAAUUCUUUCACCGGGGACGAUAAUGACGGUACCCGGAGAAGAAGCUCCGGCUAACUUCGUGCCAGCAGCCGCGGUAAUACGAAGGGGGCUAGCGUUGCUCGGAAUUACUGGGCGUAAAGGGCGCGUAGGCGGACAGCUUAGUCAGAGGUGAAAGCCCAGGGCUCAACCUUGGAAUUGCCUUUGAUACUGGCUGUCUUGAGUUUGGGAGAGGUGAGUGGAACUCCGAGUGUAGAGGUGAAAUUCGUAGAUAUUCGGAAGAACACCAGUGGCGAAGGCGACUCACUGGCCCAAUACUGACGCAGAGGCGCGAAAGCGUGGGGAGCAAACAGGAUUAGAAACCCUGGUAGUCC
rnacentral:rRNA from 1 species